ACGCUGGCGGCGUGCCUAAUACAUGCAAGUCGAGCGAAUCGAUGGGAGCUUGCUCCCUGAGAUUAGCGGCGGACGGGUGAGUAACACGUGGGCAACCUGCCUAUAAGACUGGGAUAACUUCGGGAAACCGGAGCUAAUACCGGAUACGUUCUUYUCUYGCAUGAGAGAAGAUKGAAAGACGGUUUACGCUGUCACUUAUAGAUGGKCCCGCGGCGCAUUAGCUAGUUGGUGAGGUAAUGGCUCACCAAGGCGACGAUG
rnacentral:rRNA from 1 species